rnacentral:rRNA from 1 species
UACGAAGGGAGCUAGCGUUGUUCGGAAUUACUGGGCGUAAAGGGCGCGUAGGCGGUUUUAUAAGUCAGAUGUGAAAGCCCCGGGCUUAACCUGGGAGGUGCAUUUGAAACUGUAAGGCUUGAGAUCGAGAGAGGAAAGUGGAAUUACGAGUGUAGAGGUGAAAUUCGUAGAUAUUCGUAAGAACACCAGUGGCGAAGGCGACUUUCUGGCUCGAUACUGACGCUAAGGCGCGAAAGCGUGGGAGCAAACAGG